rnacentral:sRNA from 1 species
AGUAUCUGACUGUCUUCUCUCAGAUGAUUGCAUUUCAUGAUCCAGAGCUGAGUAAUCAUCUCAAUGAGAUUGGCUUCAUUCCAGAUCUCUAUGCCAUCCCUUGGUUUCUUACCAUGUUUACUCAUGUAUUUCCACUACACAAAAUUUUCCACCUCUGGGAUACCUUACUACUUGGGAAUUCCUCUUUCCCAUUCUGUAUUGGAGUAGCAAUUCUUCAGCAGCUGCGGGACCGGCUUUUGGCUAAUGGCUUUAAUGAGUGCAUUCUUCUCUUCUCCGAUUUACCAGAAAUUGACAUUGAACGCUGUGUGAGAGAAU